AUAACUGUUCCCAAAACAUAGUGUUUUCUUUCCUGAAUAAGUAAACUGCUUACGUGUGACAAACAAAUGAUCAACGUCUUUCUGUUUCUCUCAAGGUUGCUUUGUCUGAACCCUGCAUCUUUUCUUGCUGUCUAAAGUAUAAAUACGCUUGUAAACUUGUAGAGGUCAGAGUUCCUUUGAAAACUCUCCCUGUGAUCACUUGUAUAGCUUUAAAUAAACCUAGAUGGCUCUGCCAAUUCUAAUACAACCACAACGCGAGGUUUGAUUUCUUCCACAAUUUGGUGCCGUGACUUGGAUAGAGAUGCCCGGAGUGAUCGGUUGGGAUACAGACCGUCUCCUCACUGAUGCCCCAGCUAGCCAAACUGAGGCUUUUCAUUCACAGGUACAAGCAGCUCUCCCCAAGGACCCAGAUGAGCCGUGCCAAUCCAUCCUGCCUGGUGACUGGGUCCAUGUAAAAGUCCAUCAACGGAAGUCAUCGCUGGAACCCCGCUGGAAAGGCCCGUUCCAGGUACUCCUGACAACCAACACUGCAAUAAAGUGUCAAGGACUCCAACCGUGGAUCCAUGCUUCACACACUAAGAAAACAUCAGCCCUAUUAGAAUUAAAGUCUCCUCCAUAUCAACCUUGUAAUCAGCCUCCACAGAUUGGUAGUGAGCCUAGCGCCUGCCAACAGGAGAGCUCAAGACCAGUAGUGAGCAAAGCGCCUACUGGCAAAGAAGAUUUGUCACUACAGAGCGAAGAAAAUUUACCACAACAAAACAGAAAAAAUGUACCCUAACGACACCACUAUGCCCUCCGGGGAGAAAAAAAGGCCUCUACCUAGUUCCUGGUUCCCGAGGUGGGGUUAGUUAGUUGUGACUUGGGUACUUCUCAGUCUUUCCUUUUAGAUCAUCUUAUAUAAACUUAAAGACUCAGCAGCUAAAAAAACUUUGGAAAUCAGACUAGACUUCAAAACAGGUAAAAAAAAUCACUCCCACACUGGCAUGCUCACCAAAAUGCUUUUCUUCAACUGUCUUAUCAAUAUGCAAAGGAUUUAAAUGUUUCUAAAUGUUGGGGGUGCCCAUAAUUGCUUUAUCCCUUAAUUAGACCGACUUUUGUGAUAUGUAUGUUAAAAUAAUGAAAAAAAAAGAAAAAAAAUGAAAAGUUAAAAGGCUCAUGGCUAUAAAUAUCUAAUAUGUUGGGCCUAAAAGGCCCAAAAGGGGGGAAUGUGGAAAUAAGUUUAACCAGGCCUCUCACUUGACUAAGAGGAGAGACAAAGAGAGAGAAAGAGAAGAGAAAAAGAUGCUGAUGCUAUGUGUUCCAAAAUGUUCUCAGAUAAGAAAAAACCUUCAUGCCUUGUUUUGUCUUGAUAUAUUAAGCUUUGUGUGCAGAUUUUAACCUCCUCCUCUCCUUUGAAUGAGAAGCUGAUAACUGUUCCCAAGACGUAGUGUUUUCUUUCCUGAAUAAGUAAACUGCUUACAUGUGACAAACAAAUGAUCAACAUCUUUCUGUUUCUCUCAAGGUUGCUUUGUCUGAACCCUGCAUCUUUUCUCGCUGUCUAAAGUAUAAAUAUGCUUGUAAACUUGUAGAGGUCAGAGUUCCUUUGAGAACUCGCCCUGUGAUCACUUGUAUAGCUUUAAAUAAACCUAGAUGGCUCUGCCAAUUCUGAUACAACCGCAA